GGAGCUUGCUCCCGGAUGUUAGCGGCGGACGGGUGAGUAACACGUGGGUAACCUGCCUGUAAGACUGGGAUAACUCCGGGAAACCGGAGCUAAUACCGGAUAGUUCCUUGAACCGCAUGGUUCAAGGAUGAAAGACGGUUUCGGCUGUCACUUACAGAUGGACCCGCGGCGCAUUAGCUAGUUGGUGGGGUAAUGGCUCACCAAGGCGACGAUGCGUAGCCGACCUGAGAGGGUGAUCGGCCACACUGGGACUGAGACACGGCCCAGACUCCUACGGGAGGCAGCAGUAGGGAAUCUUCCGCAAUGGACGAAAGUCUGACGGAGCAACGCCGCGUGAGUGAUGAAGGUUUUCGGAUCGUAAAGCUCUGUUGUUAGGGAAGAACAAGUGCGAGAGUAACUGCUCGCACCUUGACGGUACCUAACCAGAAAGCCACGGCUAUCUACGUGCCAGCAGCCGCGGUAAUACGUAGGUGGCAAGCGUUGUCCGGAAUUAUUGGGGCGUAAAGGGCUCGCAGGCGGUUUCUUAAGUCUGAUGUGAAACCCCCCGGCUCACCCGGAGGAGGGUCAUUGAAAGCUGAGAAACUUGAGUGCAGAA
rnacentral:rRNA from 1 species